GCUUUGGUGGUUCAGUGGUAGAAUUCUCACCUCCCAUGUGAAAAACUGUGGUUCAAUCCCCAGCCAGUGUA
rnacentral:tRNA from 1 species